rnacentral:rRNA from 1 species
UACGUAGGUGGCAAGCGUUGUCCGGAUUUAUUGGGUUUAAAGGGUGCGUAGGCGGCCCUGUAAGUCAGUGCUGAAAUAUCCCGGCUUAACCGGGAGGGUGGCAUUGAUACUGCAGGGCUUGAGUGAAGUCGAGGUAGGCGGAAUUGACGGUGUAGCGGUGAAAUGCUUAGAUAUCGUCAAGAACACCGAUAGUGAAGACAGCUUACUAGGCUUAUACUGACGCUGAGGCACGAAAGUGUGGAGAUCAAACAGG